CUCAAAAACUUCUCAACCCGUUGCUCUGUUUCAAGCCCCUUCCCGAGCUCCGGUGAUCUCUCCGAUGUCUUUAGCAUUGAGCAUCUGGAUCAAAGCUUCUCUCCUACUUCGUUGCACCUCUCCAUGUCUCAUCGUAUCUCUCCAGUUAUACUCUCUUCUCCCUCUUUCCUUCUCUAUUGUCUUCAAUUUCUUUGCUUCAGCCCCUCAUUCUUCUCAUUCAUCGACUUCGAAACGCGCAAGAAGAGUAUCUCUUCAUCGGCAUUGCCUUACAAGAGGACCCUGUCAAGUUGGUUGAAGAUUUCUGCACAAGAUGUUGCAGUCAAAGGCUCAGAUCAAUCAUCUUCUCAGGAUACUAAGAAACAAAGAUAUGAUACUUCAUCUUCUCAUAUGCGCUUCAUGGAGUUAGAGGGAUUGGAGAGUACACAACAGUUGCAAUUGCUUCAAUAGCUUUCAGCAAGGCAGUGCAUUUGUUGAUGGGAAUGUGGUUGGAGUGAUCAGCAGGUUGGUGGCCAUCUCAGCAAACCCCAAAGAAACUUCCACAAUGAAGACUUUCUAGUGAGUAUGGAAGUUCAACUUGUUCUUCUAUUUAUGUAUAGAUAUGUGCACCUAAAUUCAAAAAAUACACAUAUCCACAAAUGCUUUUCAUAUCCUCAAUAGAACCAGCCCAAUUGUUAUCCAUAUAUCCUAUCAUCUUGGAAUUAGUUGAGUUUCUAAACCAAAUUCCAAAAUCUUUAUUUCCUUUGAUGUAUCUGAGCUCUCUCUUUACAGUCUUGAAAUGUAACUCAUUAGGAUUCUACAUAAAUCUUGAUAACAAACUAGCUGCAAAUAUAAUGUUUGGUCCUGUUGCUGUUAAGUACAGUAAACAACCAAUCAGGCUUCUACAAACUCCACCAUCUAUCUUGCUUGCUCCAUCUUCCUUGCAUAAUUUUUCAUUUCGAACUGAAGAAGUAC